CACCGCGGUCACACAAGAGGCCCAAAUUAACUGUAACACGGCGUAAAGAGUGGUACCAUGCUAUCCCACCAACUAAGAUCAAAGUGCAACUGAGCUGUCGUAAGCCCAAGAUGCAUUAAAAGCCACCCUCAAGACGAUCUUAGCACCCCCGAUCAAUUGAACUCCACGAAAGCUGGGACA
rnacentral:rRNA from 1 species